rnacentral:rRNA from 1 species
CAGUCGCCACGGUAAUACGAGGGGGGCAAGCGUUGUUCGGAAUUAUUGGGCGUAAAGGGUGCGUAGGCGGUUCAGCAAGUCUCGUGUGAAAUCUUCGGGCUCAACCCGAAGUCUGCACGGGAAACUACUGGGCUUGAGUAAUGGAGAGGUGAGUGGAAUUUCCGGUGUAGCGGUGAAAUGCGUAGAUAUCGGAAGGAACACCUGUGGCGAAAGCGGCUCACUGGACAAUAACUGACGCUGAUGCAGGAAAGCUAGGGGAGCAAACAGGAUUAGAUACCCGCGUAGUCCCUGUCUCUUAUAA